CGUCAGCUCGUGUCGGUCGAGAUGUUGGGUUAAGUCCCGUAACGAGCGCAACCCUUGUCCUUAGUUACCAGCACGUUAUGGUAGGGCACUCUAAGGAGGACUGCCGGUGACAAACCGGAGGAAGGUGGGGAUGACGUCAAGUCAUCAUGGCCCUUACGGCCUGGGCUACACACGUGCUACAAUGGUCGGUACAAAGGGUUGCCAAGCCGCGAGGUGGAGCUAAUCCCAUAAAACCGAUCGUAGUCCGGAUCGCAGUCUGCAACUCGACUGCGUGAAGUCGGAAUCGCUAGUAAUCGUGAAUCAGAAUGUCACGGUGAAUACGUUCCCGGGCCUU
rnacentral:rRNA from 1 species